rnacentral:rRNA from 1 species
UGAGGAAUAUUGGUCAAUGGACGAGAGUCUGAACCAGCCAAGUAGCGUGCAGGAUGACGGCCCUAUGGGUUGUAAACUGCUUUUGUUUGGGAAUAAUCGACAUUACGUGUAAUGUUUUGCAUGUACCAUUCGAAUAAGGACCGGCUAAUUCCGUGCCAGCAGCCGCGGUAAUACGGAAGGUCCAGGCGUUAUCCGGAUUUAUUGGGUUUAAAGGGAGUGUAGGCGGUUGGUUAAGCGUGUUGUGAAAUGUAGGAGCUCAACUUCUAGAUUGCAGCGCGAACUGUCAGACUUGAGUGCGCACAACGUAGGCGGAAUUCAUGGUGUAGCGAUGAAAUGCUUAGAUAUCAUGAAGAACUCCGAUUGCGAAGGCAGCUUACGGGAGCGCAACUGACGCUGAAGCUCGAAGGUGCGGGUAUCGAACAGG